UUGGGUGUAACUCAGUGGUAGAGUGUGAGCUUAACAUGAGCAUAACCCUGGGUUUAAUCCCCCACACCAAUA
rnacentral:tRNA from 1 species